AGUGGCAAUAUUACCUCAUCCUCUAUCAAAAUAUGUCAUCGAGCUAGGUCAAGGAUCGGCGUCUCCGCUUCCCGCUGAGGUGGCCGGAAACGACUUCAGAGCUUUCCACUACCGGUCCUUUCAAUUGGCUUCCCACCGAGAACCACAACCUGUUUCCACUAAGUGGUGUCUCUGCAAGAGGAGUGGCGCUCAAGCUUAGUAGGGCUUGAAAGGUACUGAAAUCGCAUACACGUUAGAUAUUUUAACUGUGCUGAGCUGGUCCCCUGCUCUCUUUCCAGCCUUUCUCCGUCAGCUUAGAUGGGGCUACCGUCCAGACCACGGAUCCUGACUUCUGCUGGACACACCGUUGGGAAACACAGCAAAGGGUUCUGCAUUCGUUACUCUUCUUCUGCUGUGAUGAAACACCACGGCCAAGGCAACUUAUAGGAAUCAGGGCUUCUUUGGGGGAAGCCAUUAGGGCAGAGAAGCAUGGAAAGUGUGGGGCCGGGAGCAGAAGCUGAAACGCUCACAUCAUUAACAGAAAGUGUGAAGCAGAGAGAGCUAAUUAGAAAGGCCACGGAGUCUUUAAACUCUCAAAGCCUGUCCCAGUGACAUACUUCCUCCAGCGAGGCCACACCUCUUCAACCUGCUCAAACAGGGCCUUGAACUGGAAGUAUCCAAAUGCCUGAGACAAUUGGGGCAUCUCACUCAAGCCACCACAGAUUCCUGUUUCCAGUAACUUAUAGUUUCAAAGAGUCUGGUGGCAUCAUCAUCAUCAUCACCACCACCAUCAUCACCAUCAUCAACAACAUACUUUUCAGUUAUAUAUUGAACCAAAUCUUUACAUUUUUGCACAUCUUAUCUUCCUAGUUUUAUAAGCUCAUUAAGCCUGGUUAUUUAAGCUCCCUGUCGACUCUAAUAUCUGACUCUUAGUUGAUUAAAACCUUCUGUUAGUGUUUAAUCAUUUGGAUUUGACUUUUAACAUGGUUCACAAUUUUAUGUUGGGCUUGGACACUGAUAUAAAAACAGAGAGGCUUUGCUGGUAUUCUCUGCCUUUAACGAGGUACAUUUUUUCCCCCGGAAGGUGGAAAGAACGCCUAGCAGAGCCCUGUGAUCCUGCAGAGGCUUGGUUCUGUGCUUCGUCAUACCUGUUCUCUCUCAGUAACCUUGUGCCCUGAUUCCCAGAGUGCGGUCUUCCCUUUUGUGGCCUCAUCUGCAAGAGUGGGUGUCUAUAUACCAUAAAGCUUGAAGUCCAGCUCCUGCUGGGAGCUAAAAGUGCUUAGCUCGUUAGACUCUGAAUAGCUCUUGUCUGCUGGGUUCCUUGGUCUUGUGCAGGCCAAGUUUAGUCGUGAGGUACGCCACCAGUUUAGUGAGGAUUUUAAUCUCCAUUGGUGGACUCUUUUCUGAGCUUUCUCCCUGUCUGGGAGCUUUCUGCAGUCCACCCACUUUGGCUGCCCGGAGAUUCGAACUUAUCCCAGAGCUGGCUGAUGUCUCCUACCGGGACUCUGUUAUCUUGUACCAAGUGUUGGAAAUCCACUAAAGAUGGAAAGCCCAGCAUCACCACAGUGCUCACGAAGCGCAGCUUAAGAACCAUAGGUUCAUAUCCUACCUGUACUGGACACACUUUGAUGCCUUCAAAUAAAGAUCUCGCAUGAAGCUGGAUGCAGUUCUCAUGUACAAGC
rnacentral:lncRNA from 1 species